UUCUAAUAAAACGUGCACACUCAUAUAAUCGCGGGGAUAUGGCCUGCAAGUUUCUACCGGAUGACCGUUAAUCAUCUGACUAUGAGUGAGCAGUGCUUUGUU
rnacentral:ncRNA from 2 species